UACGAAGGGGGCUAGCGUUGCUCGGAAUUACUGGGCGUAAAGCGCACGUAUGCGGAUUGUUAAGUCGGGGGUGAAAUCCUGGAGCUCAACUCCAGAACUGCCUUCGAUACUGGCGAUCUCGAGUUCGGGAGAGGUGAGUGGAACUGCGAGUGUAGAGGUGAAAUUCGUAGAUAUUCGCAAGAACACCAGUGGCGAAGGCGGCUCACUGGCCCGAUACUGACGCUGAGGUGCGAAAGCGUGGGGAGCAAACAGG
rnacentral:rRNA from 1 species